rnacentral:rRNA from 1 species
CAGCAGCCACGGGAAUACAGAGGAUGCAAGCGUUAUCCGGAAUGAUUGGGCGUAAAGCGUCUGUAGGUGGCUUUUCAAGUCCGCCGUCAAAUCCCAGGGCUCAACCGGGGAGGGUCAUUGGAAACUGGUUGACUUGAGUGCAGAAGAGGAGAGUGGAAUUCCAUGUGUAGCGGUGAAAUGCGUAGAUAUAUGGAGGAACACCAGUGGCGAAGGCGACUCUCUGGUCUAUAACUGACGCUGAGGCUCGAAAGCGUGGGUAGCAAACAGGAUUAGAUACCCCAGUAGUCCCUGUCUCUUAUAC